UCAGGCCUAACACAUGCAAGUCGAACGAGAAAGAGGUUGCUUGCAACCUUGAGUAGAGUGGCGCACGGGUGAGUAACACGUAGAUAAUCUGCCUCCAAGCCUGGAAUAACUGUCCGAAAGGGCAGCUAAUACCGGAUAAAGUGAGAUUACAUAAGUGAUAUUAUGAAAGACAGCCUAUCCUUGAAAGCUGUUGUUUGGAGACGAGUCUGCGGACCAUUAGCUUGUUGGUGGGGUAACGGCCUACCAAGGCUGCGAUGGUUAGCUGGUCUGAGAGGAUGAUCAGCCACACUGGAACUGGAACACGGUCCAGACUCCUACGGGAGGCAGCAGUGAGGAAUUUUGCGCAAUGGGGGCAACCCUGACGCAGCAACGCCGCGUGAGUGAAGAAGGCCUUUGGGUCGUAAAGCUCUGUCAACUGGGAAGAAAUUAGAACACAUUAAUAGUGUGUUUUAUUGACGGUACCAGUGGAGGAAGCGCCGGCUAACUCCGUGCCAGCAGCCGCGGUAACACGGGGGGCGCAAGCGUUAUUCGGAAUUAUUGGGCGUAAAGGGCGCGUAGGCGGUCUUGCCAGUCAGGUGUGAAAGCCCGGGGCUCAACCCCGGAUGGUCACUUGAAACAGCAAGACUUGAGUACGGGAGAGGAAAGCGGAAUUCCUGGUGUAGAGGUGAAAUUCGUAGAUAUCAGGAGGAACACCGAUGGC
rnacentral:rRNA from 1 species